UUGCCAGCCCGCUCAGAACUCAAAGGAAGUUGACGGGGGCCCGGCACAAGCGGUGGAGUAUGUGGUUUAAUUCGAUGCAACGCGAAGAACCUUACCUGGUCUUGACAUCCCGGAGACCCUUAGGAAACUAGGGGGUGCUUCCAUCUGGAAGAAUCUGGAGACAGGUGCUGCAUGGCUGUCGUCAGCUCGUGUCGUGAGAUGUUGGGUUAAGUCCCGGCAACGAGCGCAACCCUUGCCUUUAGUUGCCAGCAGUUCGGCUGGGCACUCUAAAGGGACUGCCGGUGUUAAACCGGAGGAAGGUGGGGAUGACGUCAAGUCCUCAUGGCCUUUAUGACCAGGGCUACACACGUACUACAAUGGCCGAUACAAAGGGCAGCGACACUGCGAGGUGAAGCCAAUCCCGUAAAAUCGGUCUCAGUCCGGAUUGGAGUCUGCAACUCGACUCCAUGAAGUUGGAAUCGCUAGUAAUCGUGGAUCAGCAUGCCACGGUGAAUACGUUCCCGGGCCUU
rnacentral:rRNA from 1 species